rnacentral:snRNA from 1 species
AUCGCUUCUCGGCCUUUUGGCUAAGAUCAAGUGUAGUAUCUGUUCUUAUCAGUUUAAACAUAAAAAUUGAGUGAGCUUGCCACCAAUGGCACUGACCUAACUUGAAGAAAAAAAUGUUUGGGACGGAGCAUUUUUUUUUUUAUCCAAAGGAUAUGGUGCUUGCUCUUCACCUUCACUGUUCACAUUCCUUUGUUAAGUGAGAUGUGUAAUAUCAUCAUU